UCUUACGGAUGAGCAGAAAAAGUGGUUUCCUGAGAUGGAACUUACUCCUGGUGAAGGUCCUGUAAA
rnacentral:pre_miRNA from 1 species